rnacentral:rRNA from 1 species
GGAUUAGAUACCCUGGUAGUCCACGCCGUAAACGAUGAUUACUAGGCGGUCGGGGUGUUAACUCUCUGACUGCCGGAGCUCACGCAUUAAGUAAUCCGCCUGGGGAGUACGGUCGCAAGGCUAAAACUCAAAGGAAUUGACGGGGGCCCGCACAAGCGGUGGAGUAUGUGGUUUAAUUCGACGCAACGCGAAGAACCUUACCUGGAUUUGACAUCUCGGGAAUCUUUUCGAAAGUUUAGAGUGCCCUUCGGGGAACCCGAUGACAGGUGCUGCAUGGCUGUCGUCAGCUCGUGUUG